rnacentral:rRNA from 1 species
GGUUAAGUUAACAAGGGCGCAUGGUGAAUGCCUUGGCACUAGGAGCCGAUGAAGGACGGGACUAACACCGAUAUGCUUCGGGGAGCUGUACGUAAGCUAUGAUCCGGAGAUUUCCGAAUGGGGCAACCCAGCAGUUUUAAUCAACUGUUACCACUAGAUGAAUUCAUAGUCUAGUUGGAGGUAAACGCUGUGAACUGAAACAUCUCAUUAGCAGCAGGAAUAUAAAGAAAUUUCGAUUCCCUAAGUAGCGGCGAGCGAACGGGGAACAGCCCAAACCAAAGUGCUUGCACUUUGGGGUUGUAGGACUGAACAUUUGAGUUACCAAAGAACUUGAUAGUCGAAGGAUUUGGGAAAAUCCGCCAUAGAUGGUGAUAGCCCAGUAGAUUAAAUCAAAUUCUCUCAGUUCAGGAUCCUGAGUACGGCGGAACACGUGAAAUUCCGUCGGAAUCCGGGAGGACCAUCUCCCAAGGCUAAAUACUACCUAGUGACCGAUAGUGAACCAGUACCGUGAGGGAAAGGUGAAAAGCACCCCGGGAGGGGAGUGAAAUAGUUCCUGAAACCAUGUGCCUACAAUAAGUCAGAGCGCGUUAAUGCGUGAUGGCGUGCCUUUUGUAGAAUGAACCGGCGAGUUAUGAUCCCGUGCAAGGUUAAGACUAAAAAGUCGGAGCCGUAGCGAAAGCGAGUCUGAAAUGGGCGUUUUGAGUACGAGGUUAUAGACCCGAAACCAGGUGACCUAUCCAUGUCCAGGUUGAAGGUGCGGUAAAACGCACUGGAGGACCGAACCCGUGUAAGUUGAAAAUUGCUGGGAUGAGGUGUGGAUAGCGGUGAAAUUCCAAACGAACUUGGAGAUAGCUGGUUCUCUCCGAAAUAGCUUAGGGCUAGCCUCGGAAUUAGGAUCAUGGAGGUAGAGCACUAUUUGGACUAGGGGCCCGUCUUGGGUUACUGAAUUCAGAUAAACUCCGAAUGCCAUUGAUUCAUAUCCGGGAGUCAGACGAUGAGUGAUAAGAUCCACCGUCGAAAGGGGAACAGCCCAGACCAUCAGUUAAGGUCCCUAAAUGUAUGCUAAGUGGAAAAGGAUGUGGAGUUGCAUAGACAACUAGGAUGUUGGCUCAGAAGCAGCCACCAUUUAAAGAGUGCGUAAUAGCUCACUAGUCGAGUGAUCCUGCGCCGAAAAUGUACCGGGGCUAAGCAUACUACCGAAACCAUGGAUGCGACCAUUAGGUCGCGUGAUAGGAGAGCGUUCUAAGGGCGGUGAAGCAAGAUCGUGAGGACUUGUGGAGCGCUUAGAAGUGAGAAUGCCGGUAUGAGUAGCGAAAGAUAGGUGAGAAUCCUAUCCACCGAAUGACUAAGGUUUCCUGGGGAAGGCUCGUCCUCCCAGGGUUAGUCGGGACCUAAGUCGAGGCCGAGAGGCGUAGACGAUGGAUAACAGGUUGAGAUUCCUGUACUAGUUAAGUGCGUUUGAGCAAUGGAGGGACGCAGGAGGCUAAGAUGUGCAUUCUGUUGGAUUAGAAUGUCCAAGCAGUAAGUCUUGUGAAGAGUCAAAUGCUUUUCACUUUAAGGACAAGCUGUGAUGGGGAGCGAAAUUUAGUAGCGAAGCGUCUGAUGUCACACUGCCGAGAAAAGCUUCUAGUGAGUACUUAACUACCCGUACCGCAAACCGACACAGGUAGUCGAGGAGAGAAUCCUAAGGUGAGCGAGUGAACUCUCGUUAAGGAACUCGGCAAAAUGACCCCGUAACUUCGGGAGAAGGGGUGCUGAUCGCAAGAUCAGCCGCAGUGAAUAGGCCCAGGCGACUGUUUAUCAAAAACACAGGUCUCUGCAAAAUCGUAAGAUGACGUAUAGGGGCUGACGCCUGCCGUGCUGGAAGGUUAAAAGGAUGGGUUAGCUUCGGCGAAGCUCAGAAUUGAAGCCCCAGUAAACGGCGGCCGUAACUAUAACGGUCCUAAGGUAGCGAAAUUCCUUGUCGGGUAAGUUCCGACCCGCACGAAAGGCGUAACGAUCUGGGCACUGUCUCAACGAGAGACUCGGUGAAAUUAUAUUGUCCGUGAAGAUGCGGGACUACCCGCGACAGGACGGAAAGACCCCAGCUUUACUGUAGCUUGAUAUUGAGUGUUUGUACAGCUUGUACAGGAUAGGUAGGUAGGAGCCAUAGAAACCGGAACGCUAGUUUCGGUGGAGGCGUUGGUGGGAUACUACCCUCGCUGUAUGACCACUCUAACCCGCACCACUAAUCGUGGUGGGAGACAGUGUCAGGUGGGCAGUUUGACUGGGGCGGUCGCCUCCUAAAAAGUAACGGAGGCGCCCAAAGGUUCCCUCAGAAUGGUUGGAAAUCAUUCGCAGAGUGUAAAGGCACAAGGGCUUGACUGCGAGACAGACAGGUCGAGCAGGGACGAAAGUCGGGCUUAGUGAUCCGGUGGUACCGUAUGGAAGGGCCAUCGCUCAACGGAUAAAAGCUACCCUGGGGAUAACAGGCUUAUCUCCCCCAAGAGUCCACAUCGACGGGGAGGUUUGGCACCUCGAUGUCGGCUCAUCGCAUCCUGGGGCUGUAGUCGGUCCCAAGGGUUGGGCUGUUCGCCCAUUAAAGCGGUACGCGAGCUGGGUUCAGAACGUCGUGAGACAGUUCGGUCCCUAUCCGUCGCGGGCGUAGGAAAUUUGAGAGGACCUGUCCUUAGUACGAGAGGACCGGGAUGGACAUACCUCUGGUGUACCAGUUGUGCCGCCAGGCGCAUCGCUGGGUAGCUACGUAUGGAUGUGAUAAACGCUGAAAGCAUCUAAGUGUGAAACACACCUCGAGAUGAGAUUUCCCAUUCCUUUAUGGAAGUAAGACCCCUGAAAGAUGAUCAGGUAGAUAGGUUAGAAGUGGCAGUGCGGUGACGCAUGAAGCGGACUAAUACUAAUCGGUCGAGGACUUAACCAA